ACUCUGACCAGCCAUGCCGCGUGCAGGAAGACUGCCCUAUGGGUUGUAAACUGCUUUUAUACAGGAAGAAACACUCCGACGUGUCGGAGCUUGACGGUACUGUAAGAAUAAGGAUCGGCUAACUCCGUGCCAGCAGCCGCGGUAAUACGGAGGAUCCAAGCGUUAUCCGGAAUCAUUGGGUUUAAAGGGUCCGCAGGCUGUUUUUUAAGUCAGAGGUGAAAUCCUACAGCUCAACUGUAGAACUGCCUUUGAUACUGAAAAACUUGAGUUAUUGUGAAGUGGUUAGAAUGUGUGGUGUAGCGGUGAAAUGCAUAGAUAUCACACAGAAUACCGAUUGCGAAGGCAGAUCUCUGGGCCGUAACUGACGCUGAGGAGCGAAAGCGUGGGGAGCGAACAGGAUUAGAUACCCUGGUAGUCCACGCCGUAAACGGUGGGAACUAGAUGUAGGGACCGUUCCACGGUUUCUGUGUCGCAGCUAACGCAUUAAGUUCCCCGCCUGGGGAGUACGGCCGCAAGGCUAAAACUCAAAGGAAUUGACGGGGGCCCGCACAAGCGGCGGAGCAUGCGGAUUAAUUCGAUGCAACGCGAAGAACCUUACCAAGGCUUGACAUAUAGAGGAAAAGUGUAGAAAUACACUCCCCGCAAGGUCUCUAUACAGGUGGUGCAUGGUUGUCGUCAGCUCGUGUCGUGAGAUGUUGGGUUAAGUCCCGCAACGAGCGCAACCCUCGUCCUAUGUUGCCAGCACGUAGUGGUGGGAACUCAUGGGAUACUGCCGGGGUCAACUCGGAGGAAGGUGGGGAUGACGUCAAAUCAUCAUGCCCCUUAUGUCUUGGGCU
rnacentral:rRNA from 1 species